rnacentral:rRNA from 1 species
UUAUAGGUAGGGGAGCGUUCCGUUCUCGGGUGAAGUUUUCACGUAAGUGGGGAUGGACGGUACGGAAGUGAGAAUGUUGGCUUGAGUAACGAAAACAUUGGUGAGAAUCCAAUGCCCCGAAAACCUAAGGGUUCCUCCACUAGGUUCGUCCAUGGGGGGUUAGUCAGGACCUAAGGCUAGGCAAGUACAUAAUUUGCGUCGUCGAUGGCAAACAGGUUAAUAUUCCUGUACUAAUUAAAUUAGGAUCUGAGGGACGAAGGAGGCUAAGCUGGAACUGUUUUUGGAUUGCAGUGGAAGCGUUUAGACGUUGAGAGAUCGAACAAAAACGAUCUUGAGUGGAGACGUAAUCCCUACUUAUUGGUUCGCCAAAAAGUAGCUAGUGAUGUCAUACUUCCAAGAAAAGCUCAUACAUCUUUAUAAUUUAAUUACCUGUACCUGAAACCGACACAGGUAGGUUGGUAGAGAAUACCAAGGGGCGCGAGAGAACUCUCUCUAAGGAACUCGGCAAACUGGCCCCGUAACUUCGGAAGAAGGGGCGCCCAGGAUUUACUUCUUGGGUCGCAGUGACCAGGCUCAGGCGACUGUUUACCAAAAACACAGGUCUCCGCAAAGUCGUAAGACAAUAUAUGGGGGCUGACGCCUGCCCAGUGCCGGAAGGUUAAGGAAGUUGGUUACCGUUGAGGGAAGCUGACGACCGAAGCCCCGGUGAACGGCGGUCGUAACUAUAACGAUCCUAAGGUAGCGAAAUUCAUUGUCGAGUAAGUUUCGACCUGCACGAAAGGCGUAACGAUCUGAGCGCUGUCUCAGAGAGAGGCUCGGUGAAAUAGACUUGUCCCGUGAAGAUGCGGACUACCUACACCUGGACAGAAAGACCCUAUGAAGCUUGACUGUAUCUUGGAAUUGGGUUCGGGCUUUUCUUGCGCAGCCUAGGUGGGAGGCGUUGAAGAUUACCUUCCGGGGUAGUUGGAGCCAUCAGUGAGAGACCACUCUGGAAGAGCUAGAAUCCUAAUGGGGAUCCUUGAAUCAGGACCCUUGACAGUUUCAGGUGGGCAGUUUAUUUGGGGCGAAUACCUCCUAAAAGGUAACGGAGGUGUGCAAAGGUUCCCUCAGUCUGGACGGAAAUCAGACAUUGAGUGUAAAGGCAAAAGGGAGCUUGACUGCAAGACCUACAAGUCGAGCAGGGGCGAAAGCCGGCCUUAGUGAUCCGACGGUGCCGAGUGGAAGGGCCGUCGCUCAACGGAUAAAAGUUACUCUAGGGAUAACAGGCUGAUCUUCCCCAAGAGUUCACAUCGACGGGAAGGUUUGGCACCUCGAUGUCGGCUCAUCACAUCCUCGGUCUGUAGUAGGUCCGAAGGGUUGGGCUGUUCGCCCAUUAAAGUGGUACGUGAGCUGGGUUCAAAACGUCGUGAGACAGUUUGGUCCAUAUCCGGUGUAGGCGUUAGAGCAUUGAGAGUAGCCUUUCAUAGUACGAGAGGACCUGAAAGGACAUGCCAAUUGUGUACCAGUUCUCAUUCCAAUGGGAAACGCUGGGUAGCUACGCAUGGAUAGAUAACUGCUGAAAGCAUCUAAGUAGGAAGCUAAACUCAAGAUGAGUGCUCUCUAAGGCCGCGGCUAGACAAGCCGUUAUAUAGGUAUCAGGUGUACAGUCAGCAAUGGCUUUAGCCGAGAUAUACUAAAGGCCGUUUGAUUUUGAC